UACGUAGGGUGCGAGCGUUAAUCGGAAUUACUGGGCGUAAAGCGUGCGCAGGCGGUUAUUUAAGUCAGGUGUGAAAGCCCUGGGCUUAACCUAGGAAUGGCGCUUGAGACUGGAUAGCUUGGAGUGUGGCAGAGGGAGGUGGAAUUCCACGUGUAGCAGUGAAAUGCGUAGAGAUGUGGAGGAACACCGAUGGCGAAGGCAGCCUCCUGGGCCAGCACUGACGCUCAUGCACGAAAGCGUGGGGAGCAAACAGG
rnacentral:rRNA from 1 species